rnacentral:rRNA from 1 species
ACUGAACGCUGGCGGCAGGCCUAACACAUGCAAGUCGAGCGGAUGACGGGAGCUUGCUCCUUGAUUCAGCGGCGGACGGGUGAGUAAUGCCUAGGAAUCUGCCUGGUAGUGGGGGACAACGUUUCGAAAGGAACGCUAAUACCGCAUACGUCCUACGGGAGAAAGCAGGGGACCUUCGGGCCUUGCGCUAUCAGAUGAGCCUAGGUCGGAUUAGCUAGUUGGUGGGGUAAUGGCUCACCAAGGCGACGAUCCGUAACUGGUCUGAGAGGAUGAUCAGUCACACUGGAACGGAGACACGGGCCAGACUCCUACGGGAGGCAGCAGUGGGGAAUAUUGGACAAUGGGCGAAAGCCUGAUCCAGCCAUGCCGCGUGUGUGAGGAAGGUCUUCGGAUUGUAAAGCACUUUAAGUUGGGAGGAAGGGCAGUAAGUUAAUACCUUGCUGUUUUGACGUUACCAACAGAAUAAGCACCGGCUAACUUCGUGCCAGCCGCCGCGGUAAUAC